rnacentral:lncRNA from 1 species
GUUUGGCUUAUAAACUUGAGGUCAUGAGUAUAAAUCCCGAAAAUAGUCUCUUAACUUGUGAGAGUAAAGCUUUGUAGAUAUGUCCUUCCCAGAUCUAUCCUUCUCAGAGCACACUAAUGGAAUCCUCAUCCAUUCAGACAGACAUUUUAUUGUUUCUAACACAAGAUCCUGCAAAUGCAAUAGACAAUAGCAACAACAAAGUUAAUGUGUACCCUUUGGUUUUUCAACAAGAAUAAUUUUCCAACACAAGUGUGUCUCUCUUAUUUACCUCUCAAUAAGAAUACCCACCUAACAUUGUAUAUUCAACAUGAUUGCAGUUAAAGAAGAAGAAAACAAGUUCCAUUGCAAGGCACCAAAAAAGGGCAACUGUUGCAUUUGCUAUGAGGAGAGAGUCAACUCACUUUUCUAUAGGUAUUAACUUCUCAAAUGAAUAAUUAAUCUUGUUAGAAAUUAUUUAUUUCUAUUUUCAAAAUACGGUGAGAGAGUAAGUUAUUUCUUUUGUGAUGUAAGUAAGAGUUAUGAGUUUAAAUCUCGUAAAUAACAUAUUUGCUUAUGAGGAUAAGGUAGAACCAAACAUUUUCAUUUCGAAGCAGUAUGGUAUAAUCUUAUAUUGUAUCUCUAAAUUGUUACUUACAGGUGUGGGCACAUGUGUGCGUGUCUCAAGUGUGCGAAUGAGUUGCAAUGGAACAGUGGAAAAUGUCCAGUUUGUCGAGCUCCAA